rnacentral:rRNA from 1 species
CCUACGGGAGGCAGCAGUGGGGAAUAUUGGACAAUGGGCGCAAGCCUGAUCCCGCCAUGCCGCGUGGGUGAUGAAGGCCUUAGGGUUGUAAAGCUCUUUCAGCUGGGAAGAUAAUGACGGUACCAGCAGAAGAAGCCCCGGCUAACUCCGUGCCAGCAGCCGCGGU